rnacentral:piRNA from 1 species
UGCAGUCGCCCACAAGCUGCAACACCAGCUCU